GACACCACAUGUCAACACAACUGAGUCACCAAUCUGAGCAACAAUCUGGGGCCCGGGGGAGAUCUCAACAGUGAAUGGUUUCUCUGGAGGAAAAAGAACAAGACAAAAAGAAGCACACUGCCGACUUUCGAGACAGUCUCAAUUCAGCUCAACCCCAGCCCUUUUUUGGUCUUCCUGUACCAGUAGCUGUCCAGGAAAGUCUUAUCAGCAAACUAGACAGAACUUAGAAGAAAUUGUGCCACGUAACUCAUCUUCAAAGCAGAGAAUCCAGAAAGACCACUGUGAAGCUCUACUGGAUAAAAGUUCCAAGACCAUAAAUGAGAUGUUUGUGUUGGAAGAUAUCUGAAAAUUAGCUAGUCCUGUGGUUCUCAACCAAAGAGUGGUGAUCAGGUAUGAGUGCUAUUGCCAAUAAUUAAUCACUAAUAAUAAUAUGUUGCCAAUUGGAAGUGGUUUAUUAUUAUUAUUAUUAUGAAAUGAUUCAUUUCAAAAAAUAGAUAAGAUUGUAGGUAAUUCCCAUGACAAGCCCAUCAUGCUUACUCACUUGGAUUCUGAAGUGCUGUCCUGAUUAGGAGUAAAGAGGUGGGAUUACAGACUGCUUGCCUUGGCUUACUCAUAACUCUCAGUCUGUCUUAUCUAUGACAGGGUGAGUAAGAUAACCAACAUGCUAAUUAUUAUAGUUGUUGCAAUUAGAAAACAAAUGUGUUCAGUCAUAUUGUUUUGCAUCCUUGUGAAAUAUUAAUGGGUUUCACCCAAAUCUGGGUCUGUGAAUGUUAAAAUCAUCCAUCCUAUACCACAAUGAGAAAAAUUAGAGUCUCUCUGAUCAAACUCAACCCAAUCAGAUGUAAAAGCAGGAUUCAGUGACUGCCGGGAUCACAGUGAGGGGCCCCAGAGCCGGCGCUAGAACUCAACUCUCUUUCCACCAAUCUCUGGUGGCUCCAGAACAUCUGCCUUUUAGGGUCGCACAGGAAAAAUAAAAUAAUUUUUUAGUAGUUCCAUUGAAUGCCAACAGGAACAAGGAAUGCAUGACCACUUUGAGGGAAAGAGCAUAAAAAUAAUUCUUUAAGGAUCAGACAUGCAAAAAGAAUAAAACAGAAAAUAGUAAGCUUAUACAAUGUAGCAUUUGAUGUGUUGUGGAAAAGGAGGGUAACAUCUAAAAUAUUUCAGGGGCACCUGGGUGGCUGAGUCGGUUGAGUGUCUGACUCUUGAUUUCAGCUCAGGUCAGGAUGUCGCGGUCCCUGUGUUCAAGCCCCACAUAGGACUCUGCACUGACAGUGUGGAGCCUGUUUCGGAUUCUCUCUCUCUCUCUCUCUCUCUCUCUCUCUCUCUCUCUCUCUCUGUGUGUGUGUGUGUGUGUGUGUCUCUCUUUCUCUGCUCCUCACCCACUUGUUCUCUCUCUCUCUCAAAACAAAUAAAUUUCAAAAAAUAAAAAAAAAUAUUUAAAAAAUUAAUAGCUGAUAGUCAAACACAUCCUUUCUCUGUCGCACUUAAUAAACCUAUUACCUUAUUCAUUCUCACAUUAUCCCUGGGAGAUAGGCCCAUUUUACAGAAUGUAAACAGCAAUGAAAUUGUGGCAUGGCUUUCCAGUAUUAUAUAGUUGGAGGCAGUGUAGUUCAGUAUAGCGGUGGACGACUUCUUUUUUCAGCAACCUCUGAGGAGUUACUUUGCCUUUCCAGGUCUUGGUUUCCUCAUCCAUAACAUGGGGAUAAAAAUAUUACCUACCCAAUGGGAUUGUCUCAAGGGUUACAUGAGAUAUUACCGUAGAGUGAAUAACCAUUUCAUGGUAAACAGAAAAUAAUAAAUAUCACUACUCCAGGGAGAAAGGGUGAGAAAGGGAGAGAAAGGGAGAUAGUAUCUGAACUCUGAUUGGUGAUCUUUCUCUAUUGGAUUCUGUUGAAAACUGAUGAUACACCAUUCAAAAUACAUCAUUCCUUUAAUUAUUUUAGGCCAAUUACAUGAACUAGACUAUCUACAGUUUUGAGUCAUGAAGAGAGGAAGAAUAAAGAAAUUGAGUGACUAUACAAGUUUGUCUUAUUCUCCAUUUUCUGUGUUGCUGGUGUGUGUGUGUGUGUGUGUGUGUGUGUGUGUGGUGUUUAUUACUGGAAAACAGAAUCUUCUGGAAUCCAGAACAGAAGGUUGAGGCAUCAUUUCAAAGGCUGCCAUCACAAACUAUAGCCUGGUAACAAGGUUGACAUGGACAGAUUCAGAUCACUGCCGCAACACUGGACAAAUGAUGUUCUGUAACACUGGUUCUUCAAGUGUGGUCCCCUAACCAGCAGCAUCAGCUUCACCUGGGCCCUUGUUAGAAAUAUGAAUUUUCAGACUCCACCCCAGAUCUACUGAAUCAGCAACUCUGAACAGGGGUCGGGUGGAGGGGAGCGGCAAUGCCUGUGGUCCUGAUUCUACUAAAGUAUGAAAACCACUAUUCUCCAAAGAGUCCCUGCUAAAGAGAUCCUCUUUUCUUCUUAGGCUAUCCAACAAAAGGGACCAGAAACACAUUUCUGUAGUCUAACCUGCUUCUCAACAUAGAGCCUCCAUGUGUGUUAAUAGUUUUGUUCUGGAGAAGGUUAACCAUAGAAAAAUGUGUCAAGAUGAAAGAAAACAAAAUUUUGUGUUCUUCAUCCAAAAAAUUAGAAAAUGAAGGCAAAGAGAGUCACAAUAUUCCAAGUUCCCAUUGUAGUUUGCUUUUCCUGUAGGGUUAGUAGUUUAAUAACUUAUGAACUGGACAAGAUCUUGGCAUUUCUCUAGUCCAACUAGAGUCUCAAAGAGCCAUCAUGUUACCAAAUAAGACUAUUUGCAGCAGAGAGCACAAUUAAAACCCAAGCCUCUGACCAAAAAUUAGCUCACUGUGUUUCCAGUGGGCUAAUACACUAUGCUACUUUUUGAAAAAUUGAAAGUGUCAUGGCAACUGAGGGAACCUAAGAGAAUUUUUCUGCAAAAAUUCUAAUCUGGCCUAUCAUUUAACCCAGUUUCCUAAUGAUGGCCUCACAGGCCCUGUAAAAACCGUUUGCCCAAGUGACUAAUGACACUGUUAUUGUUUCUAAAGAGGCUGAUUGUCCAAAAAGUCAUUGAGGAAAUUGUCCUAAAUGUUAAGGGGUUAGGUGGUGAGUAGUAGAUGGAUCAAAAAUGGUGGGGGAGAAGACAGGAAUCUCUUAGAUAAAGGCUUACAAUGUUUUAUACCUCCCACUCCCCAGAUAUAUGCACCUGCAUCCCAGAAGACUCUAAGGGGAGUCUCUUUCUCCCUCCCCCCAAGUUGAGAUUCAAUCAUUGCUUUUGAUGGUGUAAGUUUCCACUGUGAAUUAUAGAAUGCAUUCUCCCUUGUAAGAGAACACUGAUUUAACAUCAAAGUUCAAAGCCCCUGUAAAAGACAGAAAUGUCUGUGCAAGAAUGUCUGGAAUGACUGUAUCAGGCUUUCUUGGGGACUGAGAACCUCGUGUUGAUAGGAGAAGUAUUGCAGUGUGGUCACUGGGACUGCCAUGUGACAGUAAGAGAAGAAUGUGGCAGUGCUGGGUGAAAUAACGUUAAAACAAGCCAAAUGAUACCACAUCAAGGAGUGGAUUACAAAAUACGGAUGUCCUAACACUCAGAUUGUUUAUCAUAAAGUAUUGGUAAAAUAUUUUUGAGGAAUCUACCAUAAGGUGGCUUUGCACUAUUUCCUUUUCCCAACAGAUUUAAACUCGGUCUCUCUUUCCCCAAGCCCAUGACAUCAAGCGUUCCAUAUGUUUCACAUACGAGGGGUAUUAAUUUAAAGCUUCACUGCCUUUUCCUUAACAGAUCUUCAGGAUUCAGUCAUCUUCUUAGAAAUUCACCUCUAAGACCUGUGCCAACAAGUUGCAUGCUUAUGAUUAUCCCUCAUGCUAACACAGAGGCACUAUUUCUAGUACAUCAGAAAACAGUUCAAUGAGAUCACUAGCAUUGCCUUUAGCCAACAUGGAACUUAUAUUUCCCACAUCACUAACCUAGCUCUGUGAGCUGCUAGUUAUAUUAUAUUCAGGAAAGAGAGAGUGGUUAGGCAGCCCACAGGAAAUAUAAUGCAAUGAAUCUAACCCACUUUCUAGUGUCAGGAUAGGAAAAGUUAGUGGAAGGAAUGUGAUAUGGUGCAAAGAAUAGAGAAAUCCCUGUAGUCAGAAGAGAAAGGUCUACUCUUACUCAUGAGUGACUGUGGGCAUAUCCUUUAAUGUCUAAUAACCCCACUUAUUCACCAACUUCACAUACAAGAAAAAGUGGCACCCUCCCCCCGCCAAAAAAAAAAAAAAAACAAAACCCUAGAGUGUUUCAAAUAUAUUCUAACCUCAUCACCAGCAAUUCUACUGAUGAAGUAGAAUUAGACUCCAAAGAGAUUCUCACAUAGGUCCUGAGAGAUCAUAUGCACGGAUAUGGACUUCAGCAUCCUCCAGGGUGAGAUAACCAGAGGAAAUCUGGGUGCAUAUCCCUGGGGAAGUGCACAGGGGAAAAAAAUCAUUUAUCAUUAAGUAAAUUUAUCCUAGGGAAAAGGUACACAUUGUGUGGUGGUGAGAAGCAAGCCACUAAAUAUAUACAAAGUAACAUGGAUGAAUCUUAAAUAUAUGGAUAAAUUUUAAAAAAUUUUGAGUACAAGAAAAUUUUUAAAUAGAAAUAUAAAAUGCAAUGUUAUUUGUGUAAAUUAAAUGCACAUAAAAGCACACCCAUUUUGCAAGAACAUGUGGGAACAAAAAGAUACACAUUGAAUACGUUACAAUGGCUACCUGGGGGGAGGUGGAAUGGGAAUGAGGAAUAGAAAUCAAUGGAAACAAUUUUUAAAUAAAAGAAGAGUCUUGCUUUGACCAGUGAUGAUAAUGUGCCAUGAACUGAGGAAAUUGUUAACUCAAUCUUCUGCAUCCGGUGUCCAGAAAAAGGAAAAUACUUAUUACACAAAUGGUAUUUGUCAAGAAGAUAAUUGCUGCCCUCUUGCUCCAAACUCUUCAUCUCUUUCUUUCAACUCUUCAUUCAGAAAUUUCCCUUCCUCUGAUCUUCAUUCAUCAACUAUAACAAUUCUUCUGUUAGAGAAACUGAUAUGAAUAACUCUUUCAUGUUGUUUUUUGUAUCCCAUUGUUUUAUUCACCAUAAUACAAUUUUCUAUUAAUAGAUAGAAAUGCUUGAAUAAAAGGCUCUCCCCUUUAUGGUGGAAUUUAAGGCCAAGGCAAAAGGGUGAACUAUCUGGGAGCAUAGGCAGUAUUCCACUGGUACCAGGUCACAGACAUCAACGGUCCUCAGAGAUCUGUGACUAUACACUGAAAAUUUGAAUCAGACCUCAUAUGAUUAAAAAAAAAAAAAAAAGUAUACCAUAAGAGGCUGAUUAUUCUCUAUUUUUUUUUAAUGUUUAUUUAUUUUUGAGAGAGAGAAACAUAGACAGAGCACGAGUGGAGGAGGGGCAAAGAGAGAGGGAGACACAGAAUCUGAAGCAGGCUCCAGGCUCUGAGCGGUCAGCGCAGAGCCCAAUGCAGGGCUCGAACUCAUGAACCGCAAGAUCAUGACCUGAGCCGAAGUCGGACGCUUAAUGGACUGAGUCACCCAGGCGCCCCAUCUUCUCUCUUUAAAAGUUGGUUCAGAGUAGAAGUUUUCAGCUCAAGGCGGUCCCCCUAUCAUUCUUCCCCAACACACACAGGGAUCAUUCAGUGACUAUGUCUACUUUAAUCUACUAAUGCCUGUGAGACUUUGUAGGUGGAGCAAAAAAGUUAGCCCCAGGCUUUAGCAAUACUAAAUAAAAGACUGAUUAAGAAAAAUAGAGCUUGCUGGAUGCAUUGUCCAGAGAGCUGCCCUACAGUAAGAUCUUUCCCACCAGGUACGUCAAGCUGCCUAGACUUCCGGGUUCCCCCUACCAAGGGAGUGAAGGGGUUACAGUGAGAGGCUCUCUUUUAUGUAUUAACAAAAGGGCAGGUGUUUGUAGGUGUGCUGCGGAGGAGGCUUCUGACGUUUCUUAUUCUGUGGAUUAUGUUUAACUUGUCAUCUUGUCAUCUUUCUUUUGUGUUUUUUAUAUUCCCUCUUUAACAUUUUCACCUUGUUUAACUGACUCCUUUGUUCCACAAGAUGUUAAGGGUCAUCGAGCUUUCAUAGCCAUUGUCAAGACACUGUCAGGAAGAUCAGUCACUGCACUUGUGUUCUAUCUGAUAACUUCUUUGUAAAGUUUAAGGUAUUGAGACACUCUUCUUGUUCUUCACUCAAUCUUGAUUAGUCAGUCUUCCAGGUCUCAUAAGGCAAUGAAAGAGCAUAUCUGGCCUGCCCUCAAUAAGUUUAUCUUCCAAAAUCUUCCAAAAUAGUUUAUAAUAAGAGCAUUUACAAACAAGAGUAUUGACGCCGGGGCGCCUGGGUGGCUCAGUCGGUUAGGCAUUUGACGUCGGCUCAGGUCGUGAUCUCACAGCUCCUGAGUUUGAGCCCGAUUCUGCUCGGUGCUGACAGCUCGGAGCCUGGAGCCUGCUUCCGAUUCUGUGUCUCCCUCUCUGUCUGCCCUUCCCUGGCUUGCACUCUGUCUCUCUCACUCUCUCUCUCCAAAAUAAAUAAACAUUAAAAAACAUUUUUUUUUUUUUUGUUUAAAGAGUGUUGAUGUCUCCUCUUCUCUCCCCAACUUUUACUUCAUUUAGGAGCAUUUCUGUAAUAAUUGUUUGACCAACUUGCUCUAUGACUUCUAAGAAAGAUCCAGAUAUGUGUUGUCACUUGCUCAAAAAAUAAACAAUUUUAAGACACAAUUAUUUCUGGUAUUCUGUGUUAAGUGGUUGAAUUUAAUUUCAGUCACUGAUAGGAGUUUAAAUUCUAUUAUUAUGUCCAAAUAAAAAUAAAAUAUUGUCUAUAUUGUUUGUCUAAAUUUCAUGUGGCUUAGUAUUUCAGGGCACCAGAAAAUUCAUCUCAAAGACACACAGAAACAUGUUGAUCAGGCUGGAUACUGCCAGGUAUUCUAACCAAUCAUAGGACUGGAUUAGAAAUUAAAGGUACAAGAAGGAUUUUUUUUUCCUUUCGGUUUCUAAGGAAAUAUUGCUGCAGUUUAUGGACCCAAAGGGAAGAGUUAGAUAGAUGAGUAAUAUUCCAGAAUAAUAAGAACAGAUGUCAGUCAUGGUAAAGCCUUCCUUUAUUAUCUUUAGGAGGAAUUGAGAUAAACAGCUUUUCUUAAAUACAUUUCUACUCUGGUACCUGGACCAAAAAUAUGCAACUCAUUAAAAACUCUAGUAAUUCAAAGCAAAAUCUCGAUUGCCCCUUUCCCUUCAGAAAGACUUAUCAGAAAAGAAUUAUGACAAACAAAUCUCCAGUAAAACUAAGCAACAUAACCAACAACG